GACGAACGCUGGCGGCGUGCUUAACACAUGCAAGUCGAGCGGUAAGGCCCUUUCGGGGGUACACGAGCGGCGAACGGGUGAGUAACACGUGGGUGACCUGCCCUCAGCUCUGGGAUAAGCCUGGGAAACCGGGUCUAAUACCGGAUAUGACUCCAUGACGCAUGUUGUGGGGUGGAAAGCCUUGUGCGGCUGAGGAUGGGCCCGCGGCCUAUCAGCUUGUUGGUGGGGUGAUGGCCUACCAAGGCGACGACGGGUAGCCGGCCUGAGGAGGGCCGACCGGCCACACGUGGGACU
rnacentral:rRNA from 1 species